AAGACUGUACUUUCAUGGAUCAUUUCUAUAGUUUGUAACUAAAGAAGUGUGGUUGAAAGUGUCUGACCUUGCUAACUAUGAUGAGGAGUUAAAGUGUUCUUUUCUGAGCAUGAAGUGGGUGGAUAGUGGUGCUUUAAUGUAUCUGCUGUCUGCUAGUGAUGAGUGUUCCCACUUUCCUUUUGGGAAGAAGAGAGCACAGACUGAGUGGU